GACGAACGCUGGCGGCGUGCUUAACACAUGCAAGUCGAACGGAAAGGCCCUGCUUUUGUGGGGUGCUCGAGUGGCGAACGGGUGAGUAACACGUGAGUAACCUGCCCUUGACUUUGGGAUAACUUCAGGAAACUGGGGCUAAUACCGGAUAGGAGCUCCUGCUGCAUGGUGGGGGUUGGAAAGUUUCGGCGGUUGGGGAUGGACUCGCGGCUUAUCAGCUUGUUGGUGGGGUAGUGGCUUACCAAGGCUUUGACGGGUAGCCGGCCUGAGAGGGUGACCGGCCACAUUGGGACUGAGAUACGGCCCAGACUCCUACGGGAGGCAGCAGUGGGGAAUAUUGCACGAUGGGCGGAAGCCUGAUGCAGCAACGCCGCGUGCGGGAUGACGGCCUUCGGGUUGUAAACCGCUUUCGCCUGUGACGAAGCGUGAGUGACGGUAAUGGGUAAAGAAGCACCGGCUAACUACGUGCCAGCAGCCGCGGUGAUACGUAGGGUGCGAGCGUUGUCCGGAUUUAUUGGGCGUAAAGGGCUCGUAGGUGGUUGAUCGCGUCGGAAGUGUAAUCUUGGGGCUUAACCCUGAGCGUGCUUUCGAUACGGGUUGACUUGAGGAAGGUAGGGGAGAAUGGAAUUCCUGGUGGAGCGGUGGAAUGCGCAGAUAUCAGGAGGAACACCAGUGGCGAAGGCGGUUCUCUGGGCCUUUCCUGACGCUGAGGAGCGAAAGCGUGGGGAGCGAACAGGCUUAGAUACCCUGGUAGUCCACGCUGUAAACGGUGGGUACUAGGUGUGGGGUCCAUUCCACGGGUUCCGUGCCGUAGCUAACGCUUUAGGUACCCCGCCUGGGGAGUACGGCCGCAAGGCUAAAACUCAAAGGAAUUGACGGGGCCCCGCACAAGCGGCGGAGCAUGCGGAUUAAUUCGAUGCAACGCGUAGAACCUUACCUGGGUUUGACAUGGAUCGGGAGUGCUCAGAGAUGGGUGUGCCUCUUUUGGGGUCGGUUCACAGGUGGUGCAUGGCUGUCGUCAGCUCGUGUCGUGGGAUGUUGGGUUAAGUCCCGCAACGAGCGCAACCCUUGUUCACUGUUGCCAGCACGUUAUGGUGGGGACUCAGUGGAGACCGCCGGGGUCAACUCGGAGGAAGGUGGGGAUGACGUCAAGUCAUCAUGCCCCUUAUGUCCAGGGCUUCACGCAUGCUACAAUGGCUGGUACAGAGAGUGGCGAGCCUGUGAGGGUGAGCGAAUCUCGGAAAGCCGGUCUCAGUUCGGAUUGGGGUCUGCAACUCGACCUCAUGAAGUCGGAGUCGCUAGUAAUCGCAGAUCAGCAACGCUGCGGUGAAUACGUUCCCGGG
rnacentral:rRNA from 1 species